UAUGGAAUAUAUGAAGAGUUUGGGGUCUUCUGUCAUUGAAAUAAUCAAAGCCAAGAAUAAGCGUGAAAUGUUGGAGCAAAAAAUGGACGACCUACUGAGUCAUCAGAGACAAUUUGUCGAAAAUAAUCGUCGGUCCUUAGAACAGAAAAUAAAAGAAAAGGAAAAGUCUUCUACAUUUCUAAGAAGUGUUUCAUCAGCUACAUGACUUACUGACAGGGGAUCUGCCGUGCGACCAGAUAAACCAGGACUUGCAGCAAGCCAACGAUGCUCUACGAGCAGAACUCAACAAACUAGACAAUCUGAAGGCUUUAGUUCAACUGAAGAAGCAAAAUGGAUUCGCUGACAGUAAACU